rnacentral:rRNA from 1 species
AUUGAACGCUGGCGGCAUGCCUUACACAUGCAAGUCGAACGGCAGCACGGGUGCUUGCACCUGGUGGCGAGUGGCGAACGGGUGAGUAAUACAUCGGAACAUGUCCUGUAGUGGGGGAUAGCCCGGCGAAAGCCGGAUUAAUACCGCAUACGAUCUACGGAUGAAAGCGGGGGACCUGCGGGCCUCGCGCUAUAGGGUUGGCCGAUGGCUGAUUAGCUAGUUGGUGGGGUAAAGGCCUACCAAGGCGACGAUCAGUAGCUGGUCUGAGAGGACGACCAGCCACACUGGGACUGAGACACGGCCCAGACUCCUACGGGAGGCAGCAGUGGGGAAUUUUGGACAAAGGGCGAAAGCCUGAUCCAGCAAUGCCGCGUGUGUGAAGAAGGCCUUCGGGUUGUAAAGCACUUUUGUCCGGAAAGAAAUCCUUGGCCCUAAUACGGUCGGGGGAUGACGGUACCGGAAGAAUAAGCACCGGCUAACUACGUG